rnacentral:rRNA from 1 species
UUGCCUCAGUAACGGCGAGUGAAGCGGCAACAGCUCAAAUUUGAAAUCUGGCUUCUUUAGGAGUCCGAGUUGUAAUUUGUAGAGGAUGUUUCGGGUACCGCGCCGGUUUAAAUUUCUUGGAACAGAAUGUCAAAGAGGGUGAGAAUCCCGUCUUGGAUCGGCGUAGGGCUCAUGUGAAACUCCUUCGACGAGUCGAGUUGUUUGGGAAUGCAGCUCAAAAUGGGUGGUAAAUUUCAUCUAAAGCUAAAUAUUGGCCAGAGACCGAUAGCGCACAAGUAGAGUGAUCGAAAGAUGAAAAGCACUUUGAAAAGAGAGUUAAACAGCACGUGAAAUUGUUGAAAGGGAAGCGCUUGCAACCAGACUUGAGCGCGGCGGUUCCCCCUUCCUUCUGGUUGGGUUACUCCGUCGUGUCCAGGCCAACAUCGGUUCUGGGGGCCGGUUAAAGACUUUGGGAAUGUAUCUACCCUUCGGGCGUAGACUUAUAGCCCAGAGUGUCAUGCGGCCUCCCGGGACCGAGGAACGCGCUUCGGCUCGGAUGUUGGCGUAAUGGUUGUAAGCGGCCCGUCUUGAAACACGGACCAAGGAGUCUAACAUCUAUGCGAGUGUUUGGGUGUCAAACCCGGAACGCGAAAUGAAAGUGAACGGAGGUAGGAAGCUUAGGCUGCACUAUCGACCGAUCCUGAUGUCUUCGGAUGGAUUUGAGUAAGAGCAUACAUGUUGGGACCCGAAAGAUGAUGAACUAUGCCUGAAUAGGGUGAAGCCAGAGGAAACUCUGGUGGAGGCUCGCAGCGGUUCUGACGUGCAAAUCGAUCGUCAAAUUUAGGUAUAGGGGCGAAAGACUAAUCGAAUCAUCUGGUAGCUGGUUCCUGCCGAU